rnacentral:rRNA from 11 species
UGACCGAUAGUGAACCAGUACCGUGAGGGAAAGGUGAAAAGCACCCCGACGAGGGGAGUGAAAGAGACCUGAAACCGAAUGCUUACAAGCAGUGGGAGCCUCCUUGAGGGGUGACCGCGUACCUUUUGUAUAAUGGGUCAGCGAGUUAAUUUUGCGAGCGAGCUUAAGCCGUUAGGUGUAGGCGCAGGGAAACCGAGUCUUAAUAGGGCGUUUUAGUUCGUAGGAUUAGACCCGAAGCCCGGUGAUCUAGCCAUGAGCAGGUUGAAGGUGCGGUAACACGUACUGGAGGACCGAACCCACUUAUGUUGAAAAAUGAGGGGAUGACUUGUGGCUAGGGGUGAAAGGCCAAUCAAACUGGGUAAUAGCUGGUUCUCCGCGAAAUCUAUUUAGGUAGAGCGUCAUGUAUUGCCGUCGGGGGUAGAGCACUGGAUGGGCUAUGGGGGCUUACCGCCUUACUGAUCCUAACCAAACUCCGAAUACCGAGGAGUACUAGAUGGCAGACACACGGCGAAUGCUAACGUCCGUCGUGAAGAGGGAAACAACCCUGACCUCCAGCUAAGGCCCCUAAUUCAUGGCUAAGUGGGAAAGCAGGUGAGACGGCCAAAACAACCAGGAGGUUGGCUU